ACAACAACAUUCGAUCUACCGAGCAAUAUCACCCGCUCGGUGGAAGAUCUUCCCUUUGUCGU
rnacentral:pre_miRNA from 1 species